UUUGUCAUUUUAUUUAUUUAUUUAUUUUUUUAGAUUUGUUUAGAGAAAAAAAUUUAAUAGCUUUUUUUUAUUGCAGAAAAGUAGCUGAAAAUAAAUGAAUAGAAGGUAUUGUUAGUGUGAAUAUAACCUCACCAGUCACUACUUAUCUUCAGAGUCACCCGACAGAGAGUUUUCAAUAAAAUCUUUAUACCUGAGUCAGGCAAUUACUUAAAAGCGACCAUAUGGCUUAUUUUCACGCCGGCAAACUUUUCCACCCCCAAAUGUUAAAUCCUUCAGCCAUUUAAGUUUCGCAGAUAAUUUUAAUUUUCGAUGACGAAAAAUUAAAGAAAAAAUUGAGAAAUAAAAAUGCGCAAGCACGUGGAAAUGGUGGAUAAUAUUUAACGAAAA